AGAGAUAUAGUUUAACGGAAAAACACAAGCAUGCGAAGCUUGAGGUUCAACUCCUUAUAUCUCUA
rnacentral:tRNA from 1 species